UACAGAGGUCUCAAGCGUUGUUCGGAUUCAUUGGGCGUAAAGGGUGCGUAGGCGGCGCGGUAAGUCGGGUGUGAAAUCUUGGAGCUUAACUCCGAAACUGCAUUCGAUACUGCCGUGCUUGAGGACUGGAGAGGAGACUGGAAUUUACGGUGUAGCGGUGAAAUGCGUAGAUAUCGUAAGGAACACCAGUGGCGAAGGCGGCUCACUGGCCCGAUACUGACGCUGAGGCACGAAAGCGUGGGGAGCAAACAGG
rnacentral:rRNA from 1 species